UACGGAGGGUGCGAGCGUUAAUCGGAAUUACUGGGCGUAAAGCGCACGUAGGCGGUCGUGUAAGUCGGAUGUGAAAGCCCUGGGCUUAACCUGGGAACUGCAUUCGAAACUGCACGGCUAGAGUAUGGGAGAGGGAAGCAGAAUUUCCGGUGUAGCGGUGAAAUGCGUAGAUAUCGGAAGGAAUACCAAUGGCGAAGGCAGCUUCCUGGCCCAAUACUGACGCUCAGGUGCGAAAGCGUGGGGAUCAAACAGG
rnacentral:rRNA from 1 species